GCCUGGUAGCUCAAUUGGUCAGAGCGUCAUCCCGAUAUGUGAAGGUUGUGGGUUCAAUCCCCAGUCCAGGCA
rnacentral:tRNA from 1 species